GAAAUGUUCAAAAAUGCGCGCAAAAACGAAACGAAAGUCCUUUUCAGAGUUCACAACGAACGAAAAACACGCAAUAAAAAUUAAUGUCGAUCCUCUUGCCGCCUGAACUCCUCGGUUGGAAACCUCAGGUUUCCACCUGAGCGUCCGUUGCUCACUGAAAAUUGGAUUAUUAUGCCAACAUAACAGUGAGUUUCAAGGAGAAAGUGAAAUCUCCUCGUGAGGAAACAAGAUCCUGCCAU